rnacentral:rRNA from 1 species
UGGUUAUAAUAGCAAAGAGGAUACACCUGUUCCCAUUCCGAACACAGAAGUUAAGCUCUUUAGCGCUGAUGGUACUUGGUGGGAAACUGCCUGGGAGAGUA